rnacentral:rRNA from 1 species
GACGAACGCUGGCGGCGUGCUUAACACAUGCCAGUCGAGCGGAAAGGCCCUGCUUUUGUGGGGUGCUCGAGUGGCGAACGGGUGAGUAACACGUGAGUAACCUGCCCUUGACUUUGGGAUAACUUCAGGAAACUGGGGCUAAUACCGGAUAGGAGCUCCUGCUGCAUGGUGGGGGUUGGAAAGUUUCGGCGGUUGGGGAUGGACUCGCGGCUUAUCAGCUUGUUGGUGGGGUAGUGGCUUACCAAGGCUUUGACGGGUAGCCGGCCUGAGAGGGUGACCGGCCACAUUGGGACUGAGAUACGGCCCAGACUCCUACGGGAGGCAGCAGUGGGGAAUAUUGCACAAUGGGCGGAAGCCUGAUGCAGCAACGCCGCGUGCGGGAUGACGGCCUUCGGGUUGCAAACCGCUUUCGCCUGUGACGAAGCGUGAGUGACGGUAAUGGGUAAAGAAGCACCGGCUAACUACGUG